rfam:Acidovorax sp. JS42, complete genome.
UUUCCCGAGGAGCGCUGCAGCGCCCGCCGGCCGGGGCCGCACAGGCGGCUCGCGCGUGGCGGCGUCAGGCUCGGGCCCACCGCGGCAUGCAGCCGUGCGUGUACCAACGGCGCUCACCUGAU